rnacentral:rRNA from 1 species
UAGAUGUAGGGGGUGUAGAUUCCCUCUGUGUCGUAGCUAACGCGUUAAACAUCCCGCCUGGGGAGUACGGCCGCAAGGCUAAAACUCAAACGAAUUGACGGGGGCCCGCACAAGCAGCGGAGCGUGUGGUUUAAUUCGAUGCUACACGAAGAACCUUACCUGGGCUUGACAUGUAGGUAGUAGCGAAGCGAAAGCGGAGCGACCCUUCGGGGAGCCAACACAGGUGCUGCAUGGCUGUCGUCAGCUCGUGCCGUGAGGUGUCGGGUUAAGUCCCGUAACGAGCGCAACCCCUGCUCUUAGUUAUACGUGUCUAAGGGGACUGCCGGCGGCAAGCCGGAGGAAGGUGGGGAUGACGUCAAGUCAGCAUGGCCUUUAUGUCCAGGGCUACACACACGCUACAAUGGCCGAUACAAUGGGUAGCGAAACCGCGAGGUGGAGCCAAUCCUCCAAAGUCGGUCUCAGUUCGGAUUGCAGGCUGCAACCCGCCUGCAUGAAGUUGGAGUUGCUAGUAAUCGCAGGUCAGCAAUACUGCGGUGAAUAUGUUCCCGGGCCUUGUACACACCGCCCGUCACGUCAUGGAAGCUGGCAACACCUGAAGCCGGUGAGCCAACCCGAGAGGGGGGCAGCCGUCGAAGGUGGGGCUGGUGACUGGGACG